UGUCGAUUAUUGGCAACGCCCACCCGAACUGUGCCUUUGGCGGUCUCAAGCCCGCAUGCGAAAACAGGAGAGGGGU
rnacentral:ribozyme from 1 species